CCUACGGGUGGCAGCAGUGGGGAAUCUUGCGCAAUGGGCGAAAGCCUGACGCAGCGACGCCGCGUGAGGGAUGAAGGUCUUCGGAUCGUACAACUCUGUUAGCAGGGAAGAACGGUCACUGUACUAAUCAUCCGUGACUUGACGGUACCUGCACAGGAAGCACCGGCUAACUCCGUGCCAGCAGCCGCGGUAAUACGGAGGGUGCGAGCGUUAAUCGGAAUUAUUGGGCGUAAAGCGCGCGUAGGCGGUAUGUCAAGUCAAGGGUGAAAGCCCAGGGCUCAACGUGGGAACUGCCUUGGAAACUGGCAAACUGGAGUGUGUGAGAGGAUAGUGGAAUUCCAGGUGUAGGGGUGAAAUGCGUAGAGAUCUGGAGGAACACCAGUGGCGAAGGCGACUAUCUGGCACAUAACUGACGCUGAGGAGCGAAAGCGUGGGGAGCAAACAGGAUUAGAUACCCGUGUAGUC
rnacentral:rRNA from 1 species